AUGACUUUGAUCUCCGUCCUCAUCUGGACUGUCCUCUGCUGCUGCUUCACAGAGUCCAGAGGACAGGUCACAGUGACUCAGCCUGGAGCAGUGAGCUCUGCUCUGGGAGGCUCCGUCACCAUCAGCUGUAGAACCAGUCAGAACGUUUAUGUUUGGAGCAACUACCAGUAUUUAGCCUGGUACCAACAGAGAGAUGGAGACAAACCUAAACUGCUCAUUUACGCUGCUUCCAAUAGAGCAUCAGGGAUUCCAGCUCGUUUUAGAGGCAGUGGAUCAAACUCUGACUUCACUCUGACCAUCAGUGGAGUCCAGGCUGAAGAUGCAGCAGUUUACUACUGUCAGAGUGAACACUGGCUUAGUGGCAAACUUGUGCUCACACAGUGAAAAAGCAUCGUACAAAAACCUCCCUCAGUCAGACUGAACAGAAACUGAAGUGACUGCUGCAGCUGGAAGCUACUGCAGAGACUGAUACACUUCACUGAGGACACACACACACACACACACACACACAGACAGAGUCAUGUAUCAAAACAAGAUCAUUAACAAAAUACUGAUCAAAUGAUUUUGUCCAUCACAGCUUCUGUACCGCUUAACUCGUGAGGGUCGCGG